UACGAAGGGGGCUAGCGUUGUUCGGAAUUACUGGGCGUAAAGGGCGCGUAGGCGGCGUGUCAAGUCAGGCGUGAAAGCCCCGGGCUCAACCUGGGAACCGCGCUUGAGACUGGCAUGCUCGAGUUCGGGAGAGGAUGGUGGAAUUCCCCAGUGUAGAGGUGAAAUUCGUAGAUAUUGGGGAAGAACACCGAUGGCGAAGGCAGCCAUCUGGACCGACACUGACGCUGAGGCGCGAAAGCGUGGGGAGCAAACAGG
rnacentral:rRNA from 1 species